AUGAACGCUAGCUACAGGCUUAACACAUGCAAGUCGAGGGGCAGCAUGGUCUUAGCUUGCUAAGGCCGAUGGCGACCGGCGCACGGGUGAGUAACACGUAUCCAACCUGCCGUCUACUCUUGGACAGCCUUCUGAAAGGAAGAUUAAUACAAGAUGGCAUCAUGAGUCCGCAUGUUCACAUGAUUAAAGGUGUUCCGGUAGACGAUGGGGAUGCGUUCCAUUAGAUAGUAGGCGGGGUAACGGCCCACCUAGUCUUCGAUGGAUAGGGGUUCUGAGAGGAAGGUCCCCCACAUUGGAACUGAGACACGGUCCAAACUCCUACGGGAGGCAGCAGUGAGGAAUAUUGGUCAAUGGGCGAGAGCCUGAACCAGCCAAGUAGCGUGAAGGAUGACUGCCCUAUGGGUUGUAAACUUCUUUUAUAAAGGAAUAAAGUCGGGUAUGGAUACCCGUUUGCAUGUACUUUAUGAAUAAGGAUCGGCUAACUCCGUGCCAGCAGCCGCGGUAAUACGGAGGAUCCGAGCGUUAUCCGGAUUUAUUGGGUUUAAAGGGAGCGUAGAUGGAUGUUUAAGUCAGUUGUGAAAGUUUGCGGCUCAACCGUAAAAUUGCAGUUGAUACUGGAUAUCUUGAGUGUAGUUGAGGCAGGCGGAAUUCGUGGUGUAGCGGUGAAAUGCUUAGAUAUCACGAAGAACUCCGAUUGCGAAGGCAGCCUGCUAAGCUGCAACUGACAUUGAGGCUCGAAAGUGUGGGUAUCAAACAGGAUUAGAUACCCUGGUAGUCCACGCCGUAAACGAUGAAUACUAGGUGUCGGGGAGCAUUGCUCUUCGGUGCCGCAGCAAACGCAAUAAGUAUUCCACCUGGGGAGUACGUUCGCAAGAAUGAAACUCAAAGGAAUUGACGGGGGCCCGCACAAGCGGAGGAACAUGUGGUUUAAUUCGAUGAUACGCGAGGAACCUUACCCGGGCUUAAAUUGCAGAUGAAUUACGGUGAAAGCCGUAAGCCGCAAGGCAUCUGUGAAGGUGCUGCAUGGUUGUCGUCAGCUCGUGCCGUGAGGUGUCGGCUUAAGUGCCAUAACGAGCGCAACCCUUGUUGUCAGUUACUAACAGGUUCCGCUGAGGACUCUGACAAGACUGCCAUCGUAAGAUGUGAGGAAGGUGGGGAUGACGUCAAAUCAGCACGGCCCUUACGUCCGGGGCUACACACGUGUUACAAUGGGGGGUACAGAGGGCCGCUACCACGCGAGUGGAUGCCAAUCCCCAAAACCUCUCUCAGUUCGGACUGGAGUCUGCAACCCGACUCCACGAAGCUGGAUUCGCUAGUAAUCGCGCAUCAGCCACGGCGCGGUGAAUACGUUCCCGGGCCUUGUACACACCGCCCGUCAAGCCAUGGGAGCCGGGGGUACCUGAAGUGCGUAACCGCGAGGAGCGCCCUAGGGUAAAACUGGUGACUGGGGCU
rnacentral:rRNA from 1 species